rnacentral:rRNA from 1 species
CGGGGUGAGUAACGCGUGGGUAACCUGCCUUAUACAAGGGGAUAACAGAGGGAAACUUCUGCUAAUACCGUAUAAAAAUAUUUCACGCAUGUGAGAUAUUUGAAAGAUUUAUCAGUAUGAGAUGGACCCGCGUCUGAUUAGGUAGUUGGUGAGGUAGAGGCUCACCAAGCCGACGAUCGGUAGCCGAUCUGAGAGGAUGACCGGCCACAUUGGGACUGAGACACGGCCCAA